rfam:Pelecanus crispus contig24657, whole genome shotgun sequence.
GCCGGGUUUAGCUCAGUUGGUUAGAGCAUGGUGCUAAUAACACCAAGUUCACAGGUUCAAUCCCUGCUCACUGCA